rnacentral:rRNA from 1 species
GACCUGGCCGGGUGGUCUGCCUUACGGUGUGUACUGUCUGGCCGGGCCUUACCUCUUGGUGAACCGGCGUGCCCUUUAUUGGUGUGCGUCGGGGAACUAGGACGAUUACCUUGAGAAAAUUAGAGUGUUCAAAGCAGGCCUGCUUGCCUGGAUACAUUAGCAUGGAAUAAUAAAAUAGGACGUGUAGUUCUAUUUUGUUGGUUUUUAGAGCUGCCGUA